rnacentral:rRNA from 1 species
UACGUAGGGUGCAAGCGUUGUCCGGAAUUAUUGGGCGUAAAGAGCUCGUAGGCGGUUUGUCGCGUCUGCUGUGAAAACUCGGGGCUUAACCCCGGGCCUGCAGUGGGUACGGGCAGACUAGAGUGCGGUAGGGGAGACUGGAAUUCCUGGUGUAGCGGUGAAAUGCGCAGAUAUUGGGAAGAACACCGGUGGCGAAGGCGGCGACCUGGUCCGAUACUGACGCUGAGGCGCGAAAGCGUGGGGAGCAAACAGG